rnacentral:rRNA from 1 species
UGAGGAAUAUUGGACAAUGGGCGCAAGCCUGAUCCAGCCAUGCCGCGUGCAGGAUGACGGUCCUAUGGAUUGUAAACUGCUUUUGUACAGGAAGAAACAGUUCUACGUGUAGAACCUUGACGGUACUGUAAGAAUAAGGAUCGGCUAACUCCGUGCCAGCAGCCGCGGUAAUACGGAGGAUCCAAGCGUUAUCCGGAAUCAUUGGGUUUAAAGGGUCCGUAGGCGGUUAGAUAAGUCAGUGGUGAAAGCCCAUCGCUCAACGGUGGAACGGCCAUUGAUACUGUCUGACUUGAAUUAUUAGGAAGUAACUAGAAUAUGUAGUGUAGCGGUGAAAUGCUUAGAGAUUACAUGGAAUACCAAUUGCGAAGGCAGGUUACUACUAAUGGAUUGACGCUGAUGGGCGAAAGCGUGGGUAGCGAACAGGAUUAGAUACCCCCGUAGUCCCUGAGCGGGCUGGCAAGGCGCAU